AUAUAUACUCCACUCCUCUAGUUGAUAUUCAGCCCCUAAUUGAGAAGAGAAUGAUGAGGACAGAAACCUCAUGCCUGAGCCUUCUCUUUCUUCUUCCUCUAGUAGUGGCUGACUUACGGUUGAUUUCUACAGUACUACCUGCCCGAAAGCAGAACAAAUUAUACAACAAGUCGUCCAGAAAAAGUUCUCUACUGAUCGAUCUAUAACAGCUGCUUUGCUUCGCAUGCAUUUCCACGAUUGCUUUGUGAGAGGUUGCGAUGCUUCCAUCCUUAUCGACUCCACCAAGAAAAAGGCGUCAGAGAAAUCCGCAGGGCCAAACUUGACUGUAAGAGGGUUUGAGGUCAUCGAUGAAGCAAAGAAAGCACUUGAAGCUGCAUGUUGUUAGGAAAAUGUGCAAAUGAUCGGAAACACGUCAAGAAGAGUGGAUUUAGCGCACAUUAUGGAUUCGGGUGAAAGUUUCAAGCCAAAAAGAGCAAAUGUGGAGAUUUCAUAAGAAACGAAAAGUCAA